CCUACGGGAGGCAGCAGUGGGGAAUUUUCCGCAAUGGGCGCAAGCCUGACGGAGCAACGCCGCGUGAGGGAUGAAGGCCUCUGGGCUGUAAACCUCUUUUAUCAAGGAAGAAGAUCUGACGGUACUUGAUGAAUAAGCCACGGCUAAUUCCGUGCCAGCAGCCGCGGUAAUACGGGAGUGGCAAGCGUUAUCCGGAAUUAUUGGGCGUAAAGCGUCCGCAGGCGGUCUUGUAAGUCUGUCGUUAAAGCGUGGAGCUUAACUCCAUUUGAGCGAUGGAAACUGUAAGACUAGAGUGUGGUAGGGGCAGAGGGACUUUCCGGUGUAGCGGUGAAAUGCGUAGAUAUCGGGAAGAACACCAGUGGCGAAGGCGCUCUGCUGGGCCAUAACUGACGCUCAUGGACGAAAGCCAGGGGAGCGAAAGGGAUUAGAUACCCCUGUAGUCCUGGCCGUAAACGAUGAACACUAGGUGUCGGGGGAAUCGACCCCCUCGGUGUCGUAGCCAACGCGUUAAGUGUUCCGCCUGGGGAGUACGCACGCAAGUGUGAAACUCAAAGGAAUUGACGG
rnacentral:rRNA from 1 species